rnacentral:rRNA from 1 species
GAUGAACGCUGGCGGCGUGCCUAAUACAUGCAAGUCGAGCGCGAGAGUGAGGAGCUUGCUCCUCAUAAUCGAGCGGCGGACGGGUGAGUAACACGUAGGCAACCUACCCUUGAGAUUGGGAUAACUACCGGAAACGGUAGCUAAUACCGGAUACGACUUUUCCACACAAGUGGAAUGGUUAAAAGGCGGAUUUAUCUGCCGCUCAUGGAUGGGCCUGCGGUGCAUUAGCUAGUUGGGGAGGUAGUGGCUCACCAAGGCGACGAUGCAUAGCCGACCUGAGAGGGUGAUCGGCUACACUGGGACUGAGACACGGCCCAGACUCCUACGGGAGGCAGCAGUAGGGAAUCUUCCGCAAUGGACGCAAGUCUGACGGAGCAACGCCGCGUGAGUGAUGAAGGGUUUCGGCUCGUAAAACUCUGUUGUUAAGGAAGAACACUUGAGGUAGUAACUGGCCUUGAGAUGACGGUACUUAACCAGAAAGCCACGGCUAACUACGUGCCAGCAGCCGCGGUAA